rfam:Microgenomates (Gottesmanbacteria) bacterium GW2011_GWC2_39_8 TT63_C0111, whole genome shotgun sequence.
GUGGUAUAAAUACUUUAUCCAAAGACAGUAGGCUCGAAAGUAAGACCUACCGAGGAAUCGCAAUACGUUACUUGGUUAAUUUGAAGCUUAGUUAAUUUGUAACUAUUACAUCCUCGGAAAGUUCCGGGGAUUUUUUUGAAGAGAU